ensembl:lincRNA
UGUACGAGUGUCUGUUCGAGUUAUUAUAACUGUGCUUGUAAUUUGAUCGGAUUUCGUGUGAAUAAAAUGUGUAAAACGUGUUUGUGAGUCACAUUGUUGUGACGUCACAGAGGGACAACGAUCGUCCGUUAUUUCAUUGUGUGCUCCGAGGGUUUUCCCCUCACAGUUCGAGCCCACGAUGGAGUUCACACGUUUCUUCAUGACCUCCUUGCUCGUUAUCAAUUUAAUAUUUUACCAUCAACUGUUCUCUCAACCGAAACAAGGAUAUUAUGAUUACCUUUGGGAAAGGUUCUUUCAACUCCUCCCGAACUCUCUCCGUCCUUCUCAGUACCGUGAUGGUUCCUGGUUCUCGAACCUGCACGAUGCAAUAUUGAGGACAAUCAAUUGCCAAUUUUACAACAAUGGGAACGUCAUAAAUAUCAACAUCAUCAAGGCGUGCAUCAUCUUCACGGCAGUUUGCAUGAUCUUGAACCAUAUCACUCAGAUUUUACUUGCCAUAUCAAGAUGGCGUUCCAGAGAUGCCCCGCCAGACUGCAACUGCAGUGACAUCUUGCGGGAAAUGCAACAAAUCAGUGAAUGUGACAUCAAAGCUCAACCGAUCACCAGUGUAUCGGGUAAAGAUCCAUCCCGAUUUGGCCCGGUUCGAUCGAGAUGCCGUUUCUACCAUCAUCGAUCUACAGAGAGAGAUGUGGAUGUUUACAACAACAUGUAUGCAGCAAGAGGAAGAAAGACUUCCCUGAAGGUUGAACCCGAUAUUGAUCUCCAUCACGUUGAACAGCAAGACAGCACAACAAUGAACCAGGCAAACCACCCUGACUAUCGGUCCAUGAAACACUUUCUGAACCCGAAAAAUGACAAGUAUGCUUUUCUGAAUCCUGAUCACACCUUGGGAAGAAUGGCUGCAUUCCCUGGGAUCAGCACACAUGAGGAACAAGGAUACACCAGGAAAGACAAAGGACAUGUGUGUUCGAGCAGAAUCAGCUCUCGGAACUCUCAAAUGGAUUCCAGCAAAGUCCGGUCGCAGCAUCGGUUUUCCUGCCCCAAUCUAUGUGGUGUACACACCAAGCUUCAUUGGGGAAACCAAACAAAACCAACAUUUAAACUCCAAACACGAUCACUCCAAGAACCAACGACACAAUCUCAGAAAGAUCUCAGAAAGUCACAGGGAAGCAUGGCAUUGAUCACAAUGAUCAUCCAGAAGUGCCUCGGACUUGUAUUUGGUCUACCACUGUUAGUGCAUGAGUCAUACCAUAGAAUCUCUCCAAAACAGGAGAAAUCUUUACCCAAGCUGAUACCACCAGGCCAUGGGUUCCUCAAACGUCGGCCAUCCACAAUCCCCUUUGUGGAUAGAAAGGCUCUGCAGGUGCUGGAGUUGAAUGUACAAGAGAAAAUAAUUCAACAUCAAUGGGGUCUUCCAUGUCUAAUCCAAAGUUCUCUCGACAUUCAGCUUCCUGCACCAAGACUUAUCCGGAAUCGUUCUCAAACAAAGCCCACAGGCAUCGUGAUCGCCAAAACGAGUCCACUUCCUUUCAUUGGUGGCGAAACCAGGGAAAUUUUGGAGUGGCACAUCAAUGAUAAAUUUUCCAAAUUUCCAUGUGUGGUUAGGGAUUUGAGGGAAAGCUUCAAACUACCUGCUUGCCAGAUCACAGAAGACCCCAAUUCAGUCACAUCCAGAAGCUUUGUGGGAACACUUUGCUGUUGGGUGUUUGGCUGGCUGUUGAUGUGGUUUUCCUUAUUUCUCUUCUUUCUCUUUUACUUUGUUUGAGCAAUCGCUUCACCAAUAAACCACACCCUUUCCCUUGUUCUCCAUAUAAAAGCAAUAGAAAACAUCGUGAAUUUAAACCCUGCUCUUGAUGUGUUUGAGAAUGGAGUUUGCUGAACUGACUUGGGACAACUUCAAAUUGCCUCGGAUAAACAGUGUUCCUCCCAACUUCGUGUGCUGAUCAUCACAUUCAAAUUGAUAUUUUGGAAUCGAACAUCAAAUCUAUAGAGGUAAGUUUAAAAAUCCAGUGUCUACAGAAAGUCUACACCCUCUUUCAAAAGUUUCAUCUUUUGUUGCCUUAUAGCCUGGAACUAAAUUGCAUUAAAUCAGACUUUUUCCAUGCUUAUUUACACAUCGCAACCCACAACUUCCAAGUGAAAAAGAAAUCCCACAAAUUUCAGAAAAUUAAUUUUAUAUACAAAACUAGAAUAUUUUGGUUGGAUAAGUGUCACCCCCUGAGUUAUUACUUGGUGGAAGCACCUUUGACAGCAAUCCCAGCUGUGAGUCUGUUGGGAUAGGACUCCACCAGCUUUACACACCUCGAUUGGGCAAUAUUUGCCCAUUGUUCUGUACAAAACUGUUCAAGUUCAGUCAAGUUGCAUGGGGAGCAUUGAUGAACAGCAAUCUUAAUGUCAUGCCACAUAUUUUCGAUUGGAUUUAGGUCGGGGCUCUGACUGGGCCACUCAAGGACAUUUAUCUUUUUGUUCCUUCACCAUUCCAGUGUAGCUUUGGCUGUGUGCUUCGGGUCGUUGCCAAGCUGAAAGGUGAACUUGCGUCCAAAUUUCAGCUUUCUUGCAGGGGGCAGCAGGUUUCCCUCUCGGAUUUUUCUGUAUUUUGCUCCAUCCAUUUUCUCUUCUAUCCUGACAAGUGCUCCAGGCCCUGCUGAUGAGAAACAUCCCCAAAACAUGAUGCUGCCACCACCAUCCUUCACAGUAGGGAUGGUGAUCUUUGGAUGAUGUGCUGUGUUGGGUUUGUGCCAAACAUAAUGCUUUGCAUUUCAGCCAAAAAGUUCCAUCUUGGUUUCAUCAGAGCACAAAACUUUUUGCCACAUGGAUAAAUAAUCUCUGGAGUGUUUGGAAUAAUAUAAUAACCAGGCUUGUGGAGUGCUUGGAAUAUUGUGGUCACAUGCCCACAAUGACCAGUCAUUGCCGUAAUGGCCUGAAGCUCUUUCAAAGUUGACAUUGGCUCUUGGUGGCUUCUCUGAUCAGUCCCCUCCUUACUUGGUCAUUCAGUUUGGAGAGACAGCCUGAUCUUGGCAAGGUCUUGGUGGAACCAUACACCUUCCACUUCUUCAUGAUUGUCUUGACUCCACAAGAAGGGAUAUUCAAGGCUUUUCAAAUAUUCUUAUUCCCAUCCCCUGAUCAGUGCCUUUCCACAAAAUAAUCCCGGAGGUCUUUUGAAGCUCCUUGGUGGCCAUGGUUGAGUCUUUGUUUUCUGAAAUUCACUACCCAGCUGAGGAAACCUACAGGAACAGCUGAUUUUAUUCUGAAAUUAUCAGAAUCACUACAAUUUAACACAGGUGGAGGCCAAUUGACUUUGUGUGUGAUUGUUGAAGGUGAUUGGUUACACCUGAGCUAAUUUACAAUUGCUAUUAUCAGGGGUGUGGAUACUUAUCCAACCAAGAUAUUCUAGUUUUGUAUAUUUAAUUAACUUUCUGAAAUUUGUUUUUCACUUGGAAGUUGUGGGUUGUGAUGUGUAAAUAAAGAUGGAAAAAGUCUGAUUUGAUGUAAUUUAAUUACUUCACAGAGCCUGGUUUGUGCAUGUAAUCUUGUAUUAAACAAAUGAAACUUAUAAACACUUUCCUCUUUUCGUUAACAGGAAAUUGUAUCAUAAAUAAAAGCUAAAGACACCCUUUUUUCCAAAACGAGAGGUGAAAUGAUCAAUUUGCUUGAAGAAGUUUUGAACAACCCGUACCCACAAAACGAGCUCUUCUCUGAUGACCCAGCGUACGAGUGAUACCUUGGAGACUCGCAUAAUUUGGGAAAAAUCAGGAAAAGUUACCGAUCGAUGUCCUCCUUUGUUGGAUGGUGCUUGAUGAGAGGUAAGUUCAAUUGGAUAAAAAUUCAUGAAAUAUUUUGUUUAAUUUAAAAUGAGAUAAGUAAUGUAUUUAUUUGUUAUUUUUAGCAACAUCAACAAAGCUCUGGGAGAAAAGUACAGGAAAAUUCUACCUCUCUCUUCUACUCCCUCAAACUUAAAUGACCUGAAAGAUCAUUGUCAAGACAGAACUGGAAGAAAAGAAAAAGCAAAGGACUUUGUUGACUUGAAAGACUGUAUUCACCUUGUAUUAUUGCACUUUAAUAAAAUAAACAUAUUGAACUGUUGAAAAAAAAAAUCAACUGUGAAAAUGAUUUAUGGGGUUUGGGUGAUGGGUUUUAACGUGACGGUUGGGGUUGGGUUCGAAUGUGAGCUUUGGGAUUUGGUUUGAAUGUUUGGGUGAAGGUUUUAAUUUGAGUUGUUAGGUAUUUGGGUUGGGUUUGAAUGUAAGGGUUAGGGUUGGGGUUAUAAUAACCAAGACCUCAACAGAUUUCUCCUGUGAUAUUAUCCUGAGCUUCACCCUUGAGUGCUCACUGCAAUACUGGAUAUAAAGUGUGAAUCACCAACCUAUUGCCUGUCUGUUCAGGGGACCCUCAUUCUUUGAUGAAAGGAGGAAAACCACGGGGCAACCCUCAUGCAGUGUGCCUCUUUUGGUCCCACAUUAUUCUUAAUCUUCAUCAAUGACUGCACUGACUCUCUGGAAAGUAAUUUUCAUCUCUUUGCUGAUGAUUCCAUUCUCUGCUUUGACAUCCCUCAUCCUUCUGACAGACAGGUAAUAGCCUCUUCCCUCUCCUCAGACAUUGACAAAAAUCGCAAACAAACUGGUGAAAUACUUGGAACAGGUCUUUCAAUCUUGAGAAAUCCGUCUGUGUCUCUGUGUCUCUGUGUGUCUCUCUCUCUCACACAGGACCAUGCUGAAAUCCUCCUCAUUCCUCUUGGAGGUUCAGUCUCUCAAACUCUUGGGUCUCAAUCGAAACCAUGAUCUCUCUCUUUGGCAAGCUACAUUUCAAACUUGGCCUCCAAAGCCAGGCACUGACUCGGCAUCCUCUGUCGUGCAAAGUUUUCUCUCACAAAAAGCACCGACUGGGCAUCCUCCAUCCUUCCUUGAUAAAUCUGAGCUUCUGUCCAUGCACAAGGCUUUCAUCCACAGCUUGAUUGCUCUCCUGCCUCGGCUGGUUACCUUGCCUCUCAUCUUGUUUAGCUUGAUGCUGUGGAAAAAAGGGCUUUCAAGAUCAUUGGAACCCCUCACGAUGAAGCUCACUCUAUGAGACGAUCAUUUCACCAUCGCUAACAGGUGGUCUCAGUUUUCUUCCGCCUUUCUUUUUUUUGCACCCUCUGCCCUCUCCGUGCUUUGUCCACCCCAUCCCCAGGUAACUGCAGGAUGCAUGAAUCCACCAGCAUCCCAGUGAAACUGUCGAAAUCCAGAACCACUACUCACCUACACUCUUUAUUCCUCUUUUUCCCACCUGUUUGGUGUCGUCCACCAAACGGCGGACUCCCUGGGUUAACCUGAGGUGUUCCCUUCGGGUGAGUGCCUGGAAUGUUCUCUCCCGAAGAGGGGAUCAUCAACUGUCUCUGUUAUCAUCUGAGCUCAAGCAUUUGCAGAUCGGUAUAGCAGCACUCUCUGAGGUUCGGAGACCGGAUUGCGGCGAGAUCAUUGUAGGUGGUUAUACCUACGAUUGGUCUGGUCGCUCUGAUGGUUACCAUGCCCAAGGAGUUGCUGUAGCUGUGUCGAAUAAGCUGACCCCAAUGAUAAUUGAGGUAACACCGGUCAACGAGCGUAUUAUGAGAUGAAGGAUUCAUCACUCCUUGGGUGUAAUUUCCCUGGUCUCUGAAUAUACUCCGACUGAGGCGAGUGAUCUCACCGUGAAGAAAGCAUUCCAUGCCACGCUCGAGUCUGUGGUUGAUCAGUGCCCCAGGCGAGAUACUCUUCCAGUCUCGGGGGAUUUCAAUGCAUCGACUGGAACUGAUAGGGAUGGUUAUGAGACAUGUGUUGGUCCCCAUGGGUCUGUAACUGUGAUCCAGAAUAGCACUAAGUUCCUUGACUUUGCAAGAAGUCAUGGACUUAGAGUGGCUGGUUCAUGGUUUCAGUGUCCACAGGCUCAUCGCUGGACUUCGUAUUCCAAUGCUGACAGUGUGGCAAAGGAGAUUGACCAUGUGCUCAUUUGUGGUCGAUGGAGGAUCAUCCAGAAGUGCAGUGCCUACCUGAGUGCUCAGUUCCUCAACACUGACAACAGGUUUGUUGGAGCAACUUUGAAGUUGCAGCUUAAAUCCCGGAGAAUGGUACCAUCCCAACCUCAGCGGAUGUUGGCAAGCUCAAGGAUGAGGGCAGCUGAGGAGUUUGCAAACAGCCUGGGUGGAGAUUUGGGGUGUCUGCGUGCUUUGGGGGAUCCUGAAGAGUUGUGGAGUGCCUUCAAGACCACCGUCCUUGAUGUUGCCAGUCGUUGUCUUGGAACUCGCUCUAGGGCGAAGAAGAAUUUGGUCUAUCAAGGGAUGCUGGAUACCCUUGACCAGAGUCGCAGGGCCAGGCUGAAUGGCAGAGCUGAGCUGUUCAGGGAACUGAGGCAUAAAAC